AGCCUGAUGCAGCCAUGCCGCGUGUAUGAAGAAGGCCUUCGGGUUGUAAAGUACUUUCAGCAGUGAGGAAGGUGGAUGUGUUAAUAGCGCAUUCAUUUGACGUUAGCUGCAGAAGAAGCACCGGCUAACUCCGUGCCAGCAGCCGCGGUAAUACGGAGGGUGCGAGCGUUAAUCGGAAUUACUGGGCGUAAAGCGCAUGCAGGUGGUUUGUUAAGUCAGAUGUGAAAGCCCGGGGCUCAACCUCGGAAUUGCAUUUGAAACUGGCAGACUAGAGUACUGUAGAGGGGGGUAGAAUUUCAGGUGUAGCGGUGAAAUGCGUAGAGAUCUGAAGGAAUACCGGUGGCGAAGGCGGCCCCCUGGACAGAUACUGACACUCAGAUGCGAAAGCGUGGGGAGCAAACAGGAUUAGAUACCCUGGUAGUCCACGCCGUAAACGAUGUCUACUUGGAGGUUGUGGCCUUGAGCCGUGGCUUUCGGAGCUAACGCGUUAAGUAGACCGCCUGGG
rnacentral:rRNA from 3 species